rnacentral:ncRNA from 2 species
AAGCGGAGGAAAAGAAAC